GAGAAAUAUUGUCAGUGGGUAUUUGGGCAAGGGAGCACUGUGCAGUGGGAUGUCCCUCCUGGACGUGCCGUGACAUGAAGUCCUGACUACGUCUGGGCUGCAAUUGUUUUGCAAUUGUUUCCCUGUGCUGCGAGAAGGCUUUCUAAAGGUCCCAGUAAGACGUUUUACUCUUACAUCCCCCUUUCCUGAGACUUUUUUUUCAGAUUAACAUGCCCAUCCUUUGCUGUUGCUGCCUCCCAGCUACUUCAGAAGAGCGGGAACCCCUUCCUGUAAAUACAAGGCAGCCCUGUCGAAACAUCGGGGUCUUCAAUAAGGAGGGGACCCUCGUGCUGAAGCUGGUCCAUGUAGAUGCCGUUGACGCCCUGUUCUCCGAUGUCGCCAGCGCCUUCAACAAGCAGCACGAGGAUCACGCUGCCAUGACCGAGGCUGCCCAGAAGCUGAAAGAGGUCUCUGGCUGCUCUCCCACCUCCAGCCUCACAGCCUGCCUAGGGGCCGUGCAGCAGGA
rnacentral:lncRNA from 1 species